rnacentral:rRNA from 1 species
AUUGAACGCUGGCGGCAUGCUUUACACAUGCAAGUCGAACGGUAACAGGCCGCAAGGUGCUGACGAGUGGCGAGCGGGUGAGUAAUGCAUCGGAACGUGCCCAGUCGUGGGGGAUAACGCAGCGAAAGCUGCGCUAAUACCGCAUACGAUCUCUGGAUGAAAGCGGGGGACCGAAAGGCCUCGCGCGAUUAGAGCGGCCGAUGGCAGAUUAGGUAGUUGGUGGGAUAAAAGCUUACCAAGCCGACGAUCUGUAGCUGGUCUGAGAGGACGAUCAGCCACACUGGGACUGAGACACGGCCCAGACUCCUACGGGAGGCAGCAGUGGGGAAUUUUGGACAAUGGGCGCAAGCCUGAUCCAGCAAUGCCGCGUGCAGGAUGAAGGCCUUCGGGUUGUAAACUGCUUUUGUACGGAACGAAAAGCCCUGGGUUAAUACCCUGGGGUCAUGACGGUACCGUAAGAAUAAGCACCGGCUAACUACGUGCCAGCCGCCGCCGUAACAC